rnacentral:lncRNA from 1 species
GCAAUGCCCAAUACAGUCAGAUUCCCACACUCCGACAACUCCUCCGGUAAUCCUCCUCGGAGAUCACGAUUACCGCCAAUGCGCAGGAUUUCAAGUGAGGUGAGCUUACCGAUCGAACUCGGUAUUCUACCCGAAAUCAUAUUAUCAUAGACAUGUAGCUCUUUAAUCCCAACCGUGCCGGAACCUCCUCGCAUAACUGGUAUCUCUCCAGAUAGCUGAUUAGAGCUGAGGUCAACGAAUAAAAGCGAAGAAAUCUCAAACAAACCCGUCGGUAUCUCCCCGGUCAGCGAAUUAGAGCUAAGAUCAAGCAC